rnacentral:rRNA from 1 species
CAGUCGCCGCGGGAAUACAGAGGGUGCGAUCGUUAAUCGGAUUUACUGGGCGUAAAGCGUGCGUAGGCGGCUUCUUAAGUCGGAUGUGAAAUCCCUGAGCUUAACUUAGGAAUUGCAUUCGAUACUGGGAAGCUAGAGUAUGGGAGAGGAUGGUAGAAUUCCAGGUGUAGCGGUGAAAUGCGUAGAGAUCUGGAGUAAUACCGAUGGCGAAGGCAGCCAUCUGGCCUAAUACUGACGCUGAGGUACGAAAGCAUGGGGAGCAAACAGGAUUAGAGACCCGUGUAGUCCCUGUAUCUUAUAC